rnacentral:rRNA from 1 species
UACGUAGGUGGCGAGCGUUGUCCGGAAUUACUGGGUGUAAAGCGCGUGUAGGCGGGAGGCCAAGUCUGUGGUGAAAUCGCUCGGCUUAACUGGGCGGGGUCCAUGGAAACUGGUCACCUGGAGGUCGGUAGAGGCAAGUGGAAUUCCCGGUGUAGUGGUGAAAUGCGUAGAGAUCGGGAGGAACACCAGUGGCGAAGGCGGCUUGCUGGGCCGGACCUGACGCUGAUGCGCGAAAGCCAGGGGAGCGAACGGG